rnacentral:rRNA from 1 species
GUGCGGGCUAUACAUGCAGUAGAACGCUGAAGAGAGGAGCUUGCUCUUCUUGGAUGAGUUGCGAACGGGUGAGUAACGCGUAGGUAACCUGCCUUGUAGCGGGGGAUAACUAUUGGAAACGAUAGCUAAUACCGCAUAACAAUGGAUGACACAUGUCAUUUAUUUGAAAGGGGCAAUUGCUCCACUACAAGAUGGACCUGCGUUGUAUUAGCUAGUAGGUGAGGUAAUGGCUCACCUAGGCGACGAUACAUAGCCGACCUGAGAGGGUGAUCGGCCACACUGGGACUGAGACACGGCCCAGACUCCUACGGGAGGCAGCAGUAGGGAAUCUUCGGCAAUGGGGGCAACCCUGACCGAGCAACGCCGCGUGAGUGAAGAAGGUUUUCGGAUCGUAAAGCUCUGUUGUAAGUCAAGAACGGGUGUGAGAGUGGAAAGUUCACACUGUGACGGUAGCUUACCAGAAAGGGACGGCUAACUACGUGCCAGCAGCCGCGGUAAUACGUAGGUCCCGAGCGUUGUCCGGAUUUAUUGGGCGUAAAGCGAGCGCAGGCGGUUUGAUAAGUCUGAAGUUAAAGGCUGUGGCUCAACCAUAGUUCGCUUUGGAAACUGUCAAACUUGAGUGCAGAAGGGGAGAGUGGAAUUCCAUGUGUAGCGGUGAAAUGCGUAGAUAUAUGGAGGAACACCGGUGGCGAAAGCGGCUCUCUGGUCUGUAACUGACGCUGAGGCUCGAAAGCGUGGGGAGCGAACAGGAUUAGAUACCCUGGUAGUCCACGCCGUAAACGAUGAGUGCUAGGUGUUGGAUCCUUUCCGGGAUUCAGUGCCGCAGCUAACGCAUUAAGCACUCCGCCCUGGGGAGUACGACCGCAAGGUUGAAACUCAAAGGAAUUGACGGGGGCCCGCACAAGCGGUGGAGCAUGUGGUUUAAUUCGAAGCAACGCGAAGAACCUUACCAGGUCUUGACAUCCCGAUGCUAUUUCUAGAGAUAGAAAGUUACUUCGGUACAUCGGUGACAGGUGGUGCAUGGUUGUCGUCAGCUCGUGUCGUGAGAUGUUGGGUUAAGUCCCGCAACGAGCGCAACCCCUAUUGUUAGUUGCCAUCAUUCAGUUGGGCACUCUAGCGAGACUGCCGGUAAUAAACCGGAGGAAGGUGGGGAUGACGUCAAAUCAUCAUGCCCCUUAUGACCUGGGCUACACACGUGCUACAAUGGUUGGUACAACGAGUUGCGAGUCGGUGACGGCGAGCUAAUCUCUUAAAGCCAAUCUCAGUUCGGAUUGUAGGCUGCAACUCGCCUACAUGAAGUCGGAAUCGCUAGUAAUCGCGGAUCAGCACGCCGCGGUGAAUACGUUCCCGGGCCUUGUACACACCGCCCGUCACACCACGAGAGUUUGUAACACCCGAAGUCGGUGAGGUAACCUUUGGAGCCAGCCGCUAAGUGACAGGU